rnacentral:rRNA from 1 species
GACGAACGCUGGCGGCGUGCUUAACACAUGCAAGUCGAACGGUGAAGCGCUUGCCUUUUUGGUGGGUGUGGAUGAGUGGCGAACGGGUGAGUAACACGUGAGUAACCUGCCCUCUUCUUCUGGAUAACCUCAUGAAAGUGGGGCUAAUACGGGGUAUUCCGGGUCUGUCGCAUGGCGGGUUUGGGAAAGAUUGCGCCUUUGGGUGUUUUCGGUGGGGGAUGGGCUCGCGGCCUAUCAGCUUGUUGGUGGGGUGAUGGCCUACCAAGGCGGUGACGGGUAGCCGGCCUGAGAGGGUGGACGGCCACACUGGGACUGAGACACGGCCCAGACUCCUGCGGGAGGCAGCAGUGGGGAAUAUUGCACAAUGGGCGCAAGCCUGAUGCAGCGACGCCGCGUGAGGGAUGGAGGCCUUCGGGUUGUGAACCUCUUUCGCCAGUGAAGCAGGCCUGCUCCUGUGUGGGUGGGUUGACGGUAGCUGGAUAAGAAGCGCCG